AUACGGAGGGUGCAAGCGUUGUUCGGAAUUAUUGGGCGUAAAGCGGGUGUAGGCGGCUUUGCAAGUCGGGUGUGAAAUCCCUGGGCCCAACCCAGGAACUGCAUUCGAAACUGCAUCGCUAGAGUCCCGGAGAGGAUGGCGGAAUUCCAGGUGUAGGGGUGAAAUCCGUAGAUAUCUGGAGGAACACCAGUGGCGAAGGCGGCCAUCUGGACGGUGACUGACGCUCAGACCCGAAAGCGUGGGGAGCAAACAGGAUUAGAAACCCCAGUAGUCC
rnacentral:rRNA from 1 species